UCCAUCCAUAGGUUACGUUGACCUGAAAGAAAGAUCACUAUCAGCUGCCACGCAGUCGUCAGUGCUCAUAAGCCAGGCAAACACAAGCCAGGAGCCUGAGUUCCACUGCUCCCUUAGCUGGUCAUCUAAUGUGUGUCUGCCUCUUCCCCUCAGUGAAGUUUGGGAUGAAUUACUCACUUCCCCAUUCCUCCAGCCCAAGGGCUUGCAGGAAUGUGACAUCAAGUCUAUGAAAGCUUCCCAAUACGUGAAGAAAACUAAAUGAAAAUCAAAUGGACCAG
ensembl:lncRNA